ACAGCUCAAAUUUGAAAGCUGCCAACAGGCCGCGUUGUAAUUUGUAGAAGAUGCUUUGGGUGUUGGCCUGGUCUAAGUUCCUUGGAACAGGACGUCAUAGAGGGUGAGAAUCCCGUACGUGACUGGUGCCAGCAUCCGUGUAAAGCUCUUUCGACGAGUCGAGUUGUUUGGGAAUGCAGCUCAAAAUGGGUGGUAAAUUUCAUCUAAAGCUAAAUAUUGGCCAGAGACCGAUA
rnacentral:rRNA from 1 species